rnacentral:rRNA from 1 species
GCCAGAAGGGUCGACCGUUGUCCGGAGUCACUGGGCGUAACGCGCGCGCAGGCGGCAACCUAAGUGUCGUGUGAAAGCCCCCGGCUCAACCGGGGGAGGCCAUGGCAAACUGGGUCGUUCGAGCUGCGGAGAGGCCCCUCGAAUUCCCGGUGUAGCGGUGAAAUGCGUAGAGAUCGGCAGGAAGACCAAGGGGGAAGCCAGGGGGCUGGCCGCAGGCUGACGCUGAGGCGCGACAGCGUGGGGAGCAAACCGG